AUGAAGAAGCUCCAUACAGAUGGACUUUUGGAGUCUCUUGAUUUUGAAUCAUUUGACACGUGCGAACCAUGCCUCAUGGGUAAAAUGACCAAGACUCCGUUCUCCGAAACAAUGGAGCGAGCAACCAGCUUAUUGGAAAUCAUACAUACUGAUGUGUGCGGUCCAAUGAGCGUUGAGGCUCGCGGAGGCUAUCGUUAUGUUCUCACCCUCACUGAUGACUUGAGUAGAUAUGGGUAUGUUUACUUGAUGAAACACAAGUCUGAGACCUUUGAAAAGUUCAAGGAAUUUCAGAAUGAGGUAGAGAAUCAACGUGACAGAAAAAUAAAGUUCUUACGAUCAGAUCGUGGGGGAGAAUAUUUAAGUCACGAGUUUGGUACACACUUAAGGAAAUGUGGAAUUGUUUCACAACUCACGCCGCCUGGAACACCUCAGCGUAACGGUGUGUUCGAACGUCGUAAUCGCACUCUAUUGGCUAUGGUGCGGUCUAUUAUGUCUCUUAUCGAUUUACCACUAUCAUUUUGGGGAUACGCUUUAGAGACAGCUACAUUCACUUUAAAUAGGUCAUCGUCUAAAUCCGUUGAGACGACACUGUAUGAAUUAUGGUUUGUAAAGAAACCUAAGCUGUCGUUUCUAAAAGUUUGGGGAUGCGAUGCUUAUGUCAAGAAACUUCAACCUGAAAAGCUCGAACCCAAGUCGAAAAAUGCGUCUUCAUAG
rnacentral:rRNA from 1 species